CAGUAGCCGCGGGAACACGGAGGGAGCUAGCGUUGUUCGGAAUUACUGGGCGUAAAGCGCGCGUAGGCGGUUACUCAAGUCAGAGGUGAAAGCCCGGGGCUCAACCCCGGAACUGCCUUUGAAACUAGGUGACUAGAAUCUUGGAGAGGUCAGUGGAAUUCCGAGUGUAAAGGUGAAAUUCGUAGAUAUUCGGAAGAACACCAGUGGCGAAGGCGACUGACUGGACAAGUAUUGACGCUGAGGUGCGAAAGCGUGGGGAGCAAACAGGAUUAGAUACCCCAGUAGUCCCUGUCUCUUAUAC
rnacentral:rRNA from 1 species